rnacentral:tRNA from 1 species
CGCGGUGCUGGCCGGGCCGAUCGCCGCGAUCGCGCUGUCGGCGUGCUCGGUGCUCGUGUACUACGCGGUGAUCAACACGUCGGCGCUGCGGC